ensembl:snRNA U6 U6 spliceosomal RNA
GUGCUCACUUCAGCAACACUUAUGCUACAAUUGGAACAAUACAGAGAAAAUUAGCAUUGUCCCUGCACAAAAAUAAUGUUCAAAUUUAUGAAGAAUUCUGUAUUUUC